rnacentral:rRNA from 1 species
UACGAAGGGGGCUAGCGUUGUUCGGAUUUACUGGGCGUAAAGCGCACGUAGGCGGAUCUUUAAGUCAGAGGUGAAAUCCCAAGGCUCAACCUUGGAACUGCCUUUGAUACUGGGGAUCUCGAGUUCGGGAGAGGUGAGUGGAACUGCGAGUGUAGAGGUGAAAUUCGUAGAUAUUCGCAAGAACACCCGUGGCUAAGGCGGCUCUCUAGUACGGUACUGACGCUG